GGUCAAGUCCGUAUCUCAGAUACUAUAAGCAAUAGGGCUUGUAUAUUCGGUGUAUGGAAGGACUGUAAGGUGUACAUGUCCAACUGGCAGGUGUCAUCUGACCUUGACCUCAUUUUCAUGGUUCAGUGGUUAUAGUUAAAUUUUUGUGUUUUGGUCUGUUUUUUUUCAUACUAUAUGCAAUAGGUCUACUGUAUGUUGUAUGGAAUGAUUGUAAGGUGUACAUGUCUAGGGGGCAGAUGUCAUGUGACCUUGACCCUCAUUUUCAUGGUCAGUGGUUAUAGUUAAAAUUUUUGUGUUUUGGUCUUUUUUUUCAUACUAUAUGCAAUAGGUCUACUAUAUUUGCUGUAUGGAAUGAUUGUAAGGGUACAUGUCUAGCGGGCAGAUUCAUGUGACCUUGACCUCAUUUCCAGUUCAAAUUGUCAAAGGUUAAGAUUUUGAGUUUUGGUCUAUUUAUUAAUACUAUGCCAUAGGUCACUAUGUUUUUGUGUAUGGAAAUAUUUUAUGAUCUUUUAUGUCAGUAGCGCAGGUUUCUUUUGACAUGACCUCAUUUCACGGUCGAUUGCAGUGUUAAUUAGGGCCGCCAAAGGCGGUCGCCCUAUAGUGAUCAGUCUGUCCGUCCGUCCGUCCGUCCGUAAACUUUGUGUCCGCUCCAUAUCUAGAGAACCUUACUAAUUUCAUACUUAUACUUUACAAUUUAUUUAUGUUUAAGUUUAUUAACACCACCAGAGGGUGUCAUGAUAUGUACAACUUCCUAGGUCAAAGGUCGGAAAAAAACUUUGGUUUCAGUUGACAACCUGUGCCUGUGGUGAGAUCGUGUCCGCUCUAUAUCUUGAACCGUUAUGAUUUCAAAGUUUAUACUGACAGUAUAUGAACCAACACCAGAGGGUGUGUCAUAUUUAUCAACGACUGCCUAGGGCAAAGUUAAAGGUCAAAAACUUUGGUUUCAGUUGACAACCCCAUGUCCUAUGGUAAAGAUCGUGUCCGCUCUAUAUCUUGAGAACCGUUAUCAUUUCAAAGUUUAUACUUGACAUGUAUAUAAACCAGCACCAAAGGGUGUGUCAUAAUUUAUUUACAACUUCCUAGGUCAAAGGUCAAGGUCAAAAACUUUGAUUUCAGUUGAUAAACCCAUGUCCUAUGGUAAAGAUACAAUUUUUUAAUGCACAUUAUUCAGCGGGGCCACAGAGAGCUACCAUCUCAGAUCUAGUUUUGUGUUUUGGUCUAUUUUUCUUAAACUAUAAGUAAUAGGUCAACUAUAUAUGUUGUAUAGAAGCAUUGUAAGCUGUACAUGUCUGCCUGGCAUGGUUCAUUUGACCUUAACCUCAUUUUCAAGGUUCAUUGGUCUUUGUUUAGUUAUCUUGGUUAAUGUUAAGUUUAUAUGACAGUUGUAAUAAAGCUUUAUACUUAGGACUAUCAACAUAAUAUCAAUAUUAGUAUAGAAGGCGAGACAUUUCAGCGUGUGCACUCUUGUUACUAUUUGAUAUGUUACUUAUAGGAAAAUCAUAAUAUUGAUUCUGUUUGUUAGACUCUUCCUGAAUAAUACAUGAAAAAAAUACUUUAAGGUAAUUCGCUUCUCAGUUUCAAAAUAAUUAGCUUUUCAAAACACUAGUUUAUAUUGAUAGGUGAUUAAUUAAGGAAUCAAAAGAGCAAAAAAAAAUGUAUAGGUCAAUGUGCUUGUUUUCGAUAUAUUAGCCAUUGAAAUUUUGGCUGGAAAAUAGUCUGUCUUGACUUUUCAUAGCUUUAUCAUUGACACGUUUAAGUUCUCAUAAACUAUUAAAAAAUAAUUAAAAUUUUAUAAGACUUACAGAUGUCUUAUCAUCAUACACGUAAAAGAUUUAUAAAAAGAAAGAUAAGGGUCAAUGGGCAAAUUUUUUAAGGCAUUCAAAUGGAUAAAACCAGAGGAUUCUGAAAAUCUGACAAAAACCCAAAACAUGACAAGCGAACUUCAUUAAACCUAUACAACUACUGUUCUUAUAUAUACAGUACAGAGUCCAAAUAAUGCAGAUGUAGGCAAUUAUAGGUCAACUUAUUUUAUUUUGUUUCUUUAUUAUUAUGAGGCUGACUUCAUGCAGGAACUUCUUAGGAAGAAAGAUAAGAAUUUGGCAAUAUCCUUUAACUCUACUUUCCGCUAUAUAGAUGAUGUUCUUUCACUAAAUAAUUCAAAAUUUGGUGACUAUGUGGAGCGCAUCUAUCCCAUCGAACUAGAGAUAAAGAUACUACAGAUACAGUUAAGUCGGCCUCAUAUCUGACUUACAUCUAGAAAUGACAAGAGGUCGUUGAAAACAAAACUUUUAAACAAAAGAAUGAUUUCAGCUUCCAAUUGUGAACUUUCCACUUCUAAGUAGCAACAUUCCAGCAGCACCUGCAUACAGGGUAUAUAUCUCCCAAUUGAUACGAUAUUCCUGUGCUUGCAUUUCCUAUCAUGAUUUUUAUCGAGCCUGCAACUUUUGUUGCAGAAAGCUUGACAUAGGGAAAGUGAUCCGGUGGCGGCGGCAGCGUUAGCUCACUUCUUAAAAGCUUUAUAUUUUAGAAGGUGGAAGACCUGGAUGCUUCAUACUUUGUUUAUAGAUGAUUCAUGUUACGUAGUGUCCGUCAGUCACAGGUCCAAUGUCCUUGACCUCAUUUUCAUGGUUCAGUGACCACUUGAAAAAAAAGUUCAAAUUUUUUGUAAUGUUGAAUUCUCUCUUAUUAUAUAAAGUAAUAGGAUAACUAUAUUUGAUAUGUGCGUACCUUGCAAGGUCCUCAUGUCUGUCAGACAGUUUUCACUUGACCUCGACCUCAUUUCAUGGAGCAGUGAACAAGGUUAAGUUUUGGUGGUCAAGUCCAUAUCUCAGAUACUAUAAGCAAUUGGGCUAGUAUAUUCGGUGUAUGGAAGGACUGUAAGGUGUACAUGUCCAACUGGCAGGUGUCAUCUGACCUUGACCUCGUUUUCAUGGUUCAGUGAUUAUAGUUAAAUUUUUGUGUUUUGGUCUGUUUUUCUCAUACUAUAUGCAAUAGGUCUACUAUAUUUGUUGUAUGGAAUGAUUGUAAGGUGUACAUGUCUAGCGGGCAGAUGUC
rnacentral:lncRNA from 1 species